rnacentral:rRNA from 1 species
AACGAACGCUGGCGGCAUGCCUAACACAUGCAAGUCGAACGAGACCUUCGGGCUUAGUUGCGCUCCGGUGCGUAACGCGUGGGAAGUUACACGUAGGUACGGAAUCCUUCCCUGUAGGGGGUGCUAAUACAGGUUAAGGUAAUCGCACAAAAGAUCUAUCGCCGUUGGGUGGGCCCGCGUUGGAUUAGCCAGUUGGUAGGGGAAAAGCCUAUCAAGGCGACGAUCCUUAGCUGGUCUGAGAGGAUGAUCAGCCACACUGGGGCUAAGACACGGCCCAGACUCCGACGGGAGGCAGCAGUGUGGAAUAUUGGACGAUGGGGGAAGGCGUGAUCCAGCAACGCGGCGUGAGUGAUGAAGGCCGUAGGGUUGUAAAGCUCUUUGACACGGGAUGAUAAUGACGGUACCGGGAGAAUAAGCUCCGGCUAACUCCGUG